CAGAUCGGUUUGUGUUCUUGAUUCCAUGGCAGGUGAAAACUCUGCUGUUAUUAACAAUUGGAAAACAUUCAUGGAAAUCAGGGCUGCUGUGGUAGGAGAACUGAAAGAAAAGUGGCAAGAGGGGACACUGACAUCAGCAAGCCAGUCUGGUAGCAGUAGCUGUGGACCAUUUGUUCUUCUGAAUGCACUUGCCUUGGUUAGAGGGGUAAAUCCCAAGUCACUCGACACAUCAGCUGCACAUAAAAUACGGUCUUAUGUUUUCACGAAGUUGUUGAAUGCUUCAACAAUGUUAAAUAAUAUGUAGAGUUCUUUUCAAAAACGCUAUAUAUCCAUUUUUGUCUUUUUGAGAAAUACAGCCGUGUAUGGUGUAUCGGCGCGUCCGGUGAUUCGGCACACUUGGUAUUCUUCCAGGUCUUGAGAUACUGACAUAAAAAAAAUUGUAUAGCUUUAUAAUGUACUGUUACAGAUCAAGUUUCACUUUCAUUGCAAAUUACCCAUUUUUGACUGAGUUAUGUCCAUUGAAUUUAGUAGGUGUGAACAUUUGUUUUCAAGACUUCUUUCCAGGUCUUGAGAUACUGACAUAAAAUGUUGUGUAUAUCUUUAUAAUGUACUGUUACAGCUCAAGUUUCACUUUCAUUGCAACUUACCCAUUUUUGACUGAGUUAUGUCCAUUGAACUUAGUAGGUGUGAACAUUUGUUUUCAAGACUUUUUUCCAGGUCUUGAGAUACUGACAUAAAAUUUAGUAUUAACACUAGUAAUAUGAACAAUACUAAUACUACUAAUACUAAUUCUACUAAUAUUAACACUAGUAAUAUGAACAGUACUAACACUACUAAUAUCAACUGCUAAUACUAAUAUUUUACUAAUAUUAACACUAGUAAUAUGAACAAUACUAAUACUACUAAUACUAAUACUACUAACAUUAACACUAGUAAUAUGAACAGUACUAACACUACUAAUAUCAACUGUUAAUACUAAUAUUUUACUAAUAUUAACACUAGUAAUAUGAACAAUACUAAUACUAAUACUACUAACAUUAACACUAGUAAUAUGAACAGUACUAACACUACUAAUAUCAACUGUUAAUACUAAUAAUUUACUAAUAUUAACACUAGUAAUAUGAACAAUACUAAUACUACUAAUAUUAACACUAGUAAUAUGAACAGUACUAACACUACUAAUAUCAACUGCUAAUACUAAUAUUUUACUAAUAUCAACACUAGUAAUAUGAACUAUACUAAUACUACUAAUAUUUUACUAAUAUUAAUACUACUAAUAUGAACAAUACUAACACUACUAAAAUUAAUUCUACUAAUAACACUAGUAAUAUGAACAAUACUAACAUUAAUUUUACUAAUAUUAACUACUAAUACUAAUUUUAUUAAUACUAUCACUACUACAGCACUAAUACUAACACUUAAGCAUGAUGUUGCUAGUAUGAAUGAUAAUCUCUUGUCUGUUAGCUUAUUUUAAUUGAUAUUGAUGUUUACAGUGUCGUUAUAUGAAGGCAUUUUUGUCAAUAAAAUACUACUAUAUGA